GCGUUUUUCUACAAUAGAUCCUGCGACUAUAUUUAAUUGAUAAUAGGUCAUUUUAUUGAAUCAAACGAGUACAUCACUGAUACCUACGACUGCAAAAUAAACAUAAUUUUUUUUUUUUUUUUCGUGCUAGAUCGAUAUCUUCAACACCGGUAGCCGGUGUAGGUAUAGGUAUUUAUAUUUUCGUAUUGAAAUUACUAAUAUUCAACCGGAUCACUAGCGCCAAAACGAAAUAUUAUUUCUAUGUUUUAUACAAACACGCAUCGCACGGCAACAUCGUACGCCGAUUUAAUGGGUACCUAUAGGCUACAGCCGGUACUAUGUAGGCAGGUAAUAUUAUAACAAUACGAUAGUUAAACAUAUUUUCAAGACAUUCGUGUAAGUUAUAAACAAUAACAUUGUAUUAUUGUGGUUUUGCCGCAAAACGUAUCGUCAUUACGAAAUAAAUAAAUAAUUAAAAUUAAAAACGAAACGAUUAUUAUAGGUAUAGAUACUAAC